rnacentral:rRNA from 1 species
GCAGUCGAGCGGUAACAGAUCCAGCUUGCUGGAUGCUGACGAGCGGCGGACGGGUGAGUAAUGCAUAGGAAUCUGCCCGAUAGUGGGGGAUAACCUGGGGAAACCCAGGCUAAUACCGCAUACGUCCUACGGGAGAAAGGGGGCUCCGGCUCCCGCUAUGGGAUGAGCCUAUGUCGGAUUAGCUAGUUGGUGAGGUAACGGCUCACCAAGGCCACGAUCCGUAGCUGGUCUGAGAGGAUGAUCAGCCACAUCGGGACUGAGACACGGCCCGAACUCCUACGGGAGGCAGCAGUGGGGAAUAUUGGACAAUGGGGGAAACCCUGAUCCAGCCAUGCCGCGUGUGUGAAGAAGGCCCUCGGGUUGUAAAGCACUUUCAGCGAGGAAGAACGCCUAGCGGUUAAUACCCGCUAGGAAAGACAUCACUCGCAGAAGAAGCACCGGCUAACUCCGUGCCAGCAGCCGCGGUAAUACGGAGGGUGCAAGCGUUAAUCGGAAUUACUGGGCGUAAAGCGCGC